rnacentral:lncRNA from 1 species
UCAAUCUCGGUCAGGUCUGAAAACACAUAAUAUGUUUAAGAUAUUCAACUGCUUUUAUUCAGUCAGCCUUAGAUGUGACCAGAAUGGAUUAGUAUUGGACAUUUGUGCAGUGAACAAGUGUAAUGCCUUCAGGCUCGAAGUGUACACGGCCUAUUUGGAUUCGGUUGAUUCAAGUCCGGAAUGGACAAGUAUUAUUAGGAAAAGCAUGCUCCCGGUGCUUGGGCCCCGUCAUCGAACGUCGGUGAAACGCGUUUAACUAGACAAAUGUAUACGCUAUUCUGAGGCUGAGUCCACACGUGCAUGCAACGAUUAUAUCGUAUAUAACUUCAUCGCUAGAGCAAAAUGCAAAGACCUCACAGACGCCAAAAAACAGCCAGGUCUCCGCGAAGUCAGAAGGUCUUCUCGACAUGCCCAAACCCUUCUUCGUAUCGCUCGUUCGGCCGAAGUCAAAUAUGGAGUGGCAGAUGAACAGUAAAUAGAAAGACAACAAAUUACGACGACUGGCGCAUAUAGGUGUCGGUCGCUGUCAAUAGAAGCCAACCGCAGCCCUAAAGAAACUGUGCCUUUACUAUCGGCGCAGCUUCAAUUUUUAUGCCCUAUAAGUUUAAAUAAAUAAACAGGUCUGAAGUAAUUAUGUAGAGCAUAUAGGUCAACUUGUUUGCGUGAGGUUUCUCUGAUGUGAGAUUCUUUUUUCUUAUUGGAAAACGCAUCACUUGAACAAAAACAAAAUUCUUAACCCCUAUUAAAUCGUUGUAGCGUUUCAACGCAUCGACCAGAUUAGUGUAGCUGCAUUAUCAUUAGAAAUCAUAAUCACUUCUAUUGGCAAACUUCAGUUUGAACACUUAACGGUAUGUUUUGGAGGUAAAUAAAAAAAGGACUGAAAGAAGAGUGCGAUAUAGGGAGUAAACAAAAAGUGCG